UAGGGAAUCUUCCGCAAUGGGCGAAAGCCUGACGGAGCAACGCCGCGUGAGUGAUGAAGGUCUUCGGAUCGUAAAACUCUGUUAUCAGGGAAGAACAAAUGUGUAAGUAACUAUGCACGCCUUGACGGUACCUAAUCAGAAAGCCACGGCUAACUACGUGCCAGCAGCCGCGGUAAUACGUAGGUGGCAAGCGUUAUCCGGAAUUAUUGGGCGUAAAGCGCGCGUAGGCGGUUUUUUAAGUCUGGUGUGAAAGCCCACGGCUCAACCGUCGAGGGUCAUUGGAAACUUGAAAACUUGAGUGCAGAAGAGGAAAGUGGAAUUCCAUGUGUAGCGGUGAAAUGCGCAGAGAUAUGGAGGAACACCAGUGGCGAAGGCGACUUUCUGGUCUGUAACUGACGCUGAUGUGCGAAAGCGUGGGGAUCAAACAGG
rnacentral:rRNA from 1 species